rnacentral:rRNA from 1 species
AAAAAGCUCGUAGUUGGAUCUGGGUCGUAUGGCUAUGUGCCGUAUCUUGCUUUCUGGGCUCAGUUACGGCUGGGUCAAGUUUGUGGGUCGGUGUCGUGGCUGUGCAGCCUUUAUGCCGUGUCUGUUUCGACAGGUGUCGACUUAUUCAAUGGGCUUGCUCGUUGAUGUGUUGGCAUGCUUCCAGAUGCCUUUAAACGGGUGUCGGGGGCGGACGGUACGUUUACUUUGAACAAAUUUGAGUGCUCAAAGCAGGCUUGUGCCUGAAAAUUCUUGCAUGGAAUAAUGGAAUAGGACUU